UACAGAGGUCUCAAGCGUUGUUCGGAUUCAUUGGGCGUAAAGGGUGCGUAGGCGGCGCGGUAAGUCGGGUGUGAAAGCCCCGGGCUCAACCUGGGAAUUGCAUUCGAUACUGGAUAGCUAGAGUUCGGCAGAGGGAAGCGGAAUUUCCGGUGUAGCGGUGAAAUGCGUAGAUAUCGGAAGGAACAUCAGUGGCGAAAGCGGCUUCCUGGACCAGAACUGACGAUCAGGCUCGAAAGCGUGGGGAGCAAACAGG
rnacentral:rRNA from 1 species